rnacentral:misc_RNA from 1 species
GAUGAGAACGUAGCGAAAUGCGAUAAGUAAUGCGAAUUGCAGAAUCCGUGAGUCAUCGAAUCUUUGAACGCAUAUUGCGCCCUUUGGCAUUCCGAAGGGCAUGCCUGUUCGAGCGUCAUUAUCACCCCUCAAGCCCCGGCUUGGUGUUGGGCCCCCGGUGGUCGUACCCGACCACCCGCCUCAAAGAUAGUGACGGCGUCCCAGAGGGAACCGGUACGAGGAGCUUUCACGAGCAUGUACGCGGGACGACUCUGUGGGCGACGGUCUUUUUUAACCUUAAUAUAUCAAGUGUUGACCUCGGAUCAGGUAGGAAUACCCGCUGAACUUAAGCAUAUCAAUAAGCGGACGA